rnacentral:rRNA from 1 species
UCCGUAGGGCGCAAGCGUUGUCCGGAAUUAUUGGGCGUAAAGAGCUCGUAGGUGGCUUGUCACGUCGGGUGUGAAAGCUUGGGGCUUAACUCCAGGUCUGCAUUCGAUACGGGCUGGCUAGAGGUAGGUAGGGGAGAACGGAAUUCCUGGUGUAGCGGUGAAAUGCGCAGAUAUCAGGAGGAACACCGGUGGCGAAGGCGGUUCUCUGGGCCGUACCUGACGCUGAGGAGCGAAAGCGUGGGGAGCGAACAGG